rnacentral:misc_RNA from 1 species
CGAACUCAUCCUGAUCUUGCUGGUACUUAGUUACAGUUUUCUUGAUGAUCUUUCAUUAUUGCUUUUAGGUUUUCUGCCUGCUUGCUUUGUUUUUCUGGAUUUUGAACGUUUUAACUUAUUUUUGCUUCCGAUUCAUGUAUAUUUAUUUUACCACUAUACUGUUAACAUUUGUGCUUGCUUCUAUCUAUCUGUUUCUGUGCAUGGGCAUGUGUGCACAUGAUGGUAAACGUCCCAUUUUAUUGCAACUAUUAAGGGGAAAAAAAUUAAUAGAUCACAAUCCUGACUUUUGUGCUUUUACUCUAGUAAACUAACUAGAGAUUUGCCAAGUACGUAGUUUGAAAGGUCACUUGUGUAUGCUUACAACAGCAUCUAAUAGUGUCAGUGGGUAUAAUUAAAGAAUUACAAAUAAAGUAUGCACCUGAAGUUUUCUUUCCUGUUUGUUUUGUUUCAAAAGUUUCGUUGUGCUUUCUAAUUUUUACGAGUACAUGUAAUCUUUUCCUACUUGACCCUUGUGUAUGAAUUAUGUUUCAGUGCUUGACACUGUAAACCAGUAGAUUAUUGAUAUUAAUUUCAUCCGUGUGGCAAGUGGUACUAUUCAAUUUUUGCUCCAUGACUCUAAAUUGUGUGUUCCAGGACUGAAGGGACAGUCUAAUAAGAGGCUUAUUUCUAUGAAUGAAGUUAAACAACAUCAAAGUGAAGGGUCCAUGUGGACUGUUCUAAAAGGC